CCCACUACAUACAGCCCCCCUUUCGCACCUUUUGUGCACCUCUCUCCAUAACUAUUCUCUCUCUCUCUCUCUCUCUCUCUCUCUCUCUCUCUCUCUCUCUCUGAGUUUAUUCCUCCACCUCGAGACUACUUUUCCAAUGGAUACCAAGUGUGUCAAAGCCUCUGUUCAUGGUUUUGUUGUUGUAGGUAUUUACAGGUGGUCUUGCUUCAUAUCUCGUUUUCUCUCUCUUUUAUUUUCUCCCUAUCUCAAGUGUUUUCUCUCAAACCCUUUGGGUUUCCCUCUCAGAGACACACUCUCUUUUUGUUUUGAACCGCAAUGAACAAAGGCCUAGAGACAACCUCUCACCACCAAGGGCAUCAAAUUAGUUCCCAGGCAACAUUGUUUAACUCAUGAAGCCCGAUCGAUCACCACUUUGGGACUAGGUUGUGUUAUUCCUAGAGUUCGAGUUCAAGGCUUAGGUAAGUAGUGCAAGAGUUAGGUAAGCAGUGCUCCUAUGCUAGGCUUGGUUUAAAUAGACUGAGAUUGAUUUUAUGAAAAACUUGCAUAUUUUGUUAUGGAACAUUGGAAACAACCUCGAUAAUUUUUUCUGCAUAAUUCACUGUAUCUAAGAAAAAAAAUAUUUUUAUCAUGAUUGAUGUAGACAUGAGCAUUUUUGGGACACUAUUUCUCAAAUGUAUAAAAAGACUGAAAAUGAAAUUUUAAAGUUUUAUACAAUGAUAUGAAUAUAAUAUGUAUCUGUUUAGUACUCUGUUAUGAUAUGAUGUUGCAUAUAAAAUCUUUUGGCAUGACAUUCUAUUUCUGCUUUUUGUUUCAACCUUACGAUAGGUGUAAAACUAUGGCCUCUGUUAUUGUGUUGUACCAACAUCUCUGUUUCUAAGUGCACCCACUUUGGAAACAAAGUAGUUUUCUGCAUGGUCUUUUCUAUUGCACACUCGGGGCUCUAGGAAUGAUAAGAGAAAGAUUUUACUUAUGUUUCUUUCUGGUUUGGCCAAUGGGGAUAGAACAACUCUACCGCAAGGAUUAAAUAUGGAAUAUGUUCUGAUAUGAUGCUACUUAGUUAUGCUAUACAAAUAUUUAUAAAUUUUCGCUCUGAUAUCUUGAUAAUAUGUUUUCUUUUUCAGUUUAUAAUUGGCUUAUGUUUACAUACUAGUAUAUGUUUAUUACUUACUGAGUUGUUGAUAACUCAGCCAAUUACAUUCAAUAUUCUAGAUGAUUUUGAUAGUUCAACAGAGAAUCGAGAAUGUGAAGCAUGGGCCAGACUAGUUGGACAUAGAAGACAAAGUACCAAAAGAGUAUUUUGAAUUGUUGGAUAGUAUUACUCUGUAGAUUUGGUUUUGUUGAUUUGGUAUUUGGGAUGUUGACGAUAUUAUUGAGACUUUUUGGAGUUGUUAAUUAAUUUUAUUAGAAUGUUUCCUUGAUGUCCUCGUAGAGAAACAUGUAUGUUUGGUUUGAACAAAUGAGGUUACGCUUCAUGGGGUGUUUGAAGUAUAUAUA